AUUGAACGCUGGCGGCCGGCCUAACACAUGCAAGUCGAGCGAGCGGCGGACGGGUGAGUAAUGUAUGGGGACUGCCCGAUAGAGGGGGGUAACUACUGGAAACGGUGGCUAAUACCGCAUACUAUCGGAUAACCCAUAUGGGAUUAGCUAGUAGGUGGGGGAAAGGCUCACCUAGGCGACGAUCUUUAGCUGGUCUGAGAGGAUGAUCAGCCACACGGGGAUGGAGACACGGCCCAGAGUACAAGGGAGGCAGAAGGGGGGAAUAUUGCACAAUGGGGGCAAGCCGGAUGCAGCCAUGCCGCGUGUAUGAAGAAGGCCUUAGGGUUGUAAAGUACUUUCAGCGGGGAGGCGUUACCCGCAGAAGAAGCACCGGCUAACUCCGUGCCAGCCGCCGCGGUAAUUC
rnacentral:rRNA from 1 species